GGCACAUGGAAGCAGGGGAAUUCGUAUGUGGGGGAAGCGUGUGCUUGAAGUGAGUUACUCUUCGCUGUGGGAAGUUUAAACUGCUAUUGGACUGACAAAAGAAUAUGAUCCUUGAGUGCGUUUACGUUUUUCACUGGGAAUUCCGAGGACCCUGCUUCACAUCUUUCACCGGGAAUUCUGAGGAUCGACCUCAUUCGUAGCGACACCAAUAUCCUAUACGUAUAUGUUUAUUUGGAACAGCGGGGAGGCUGAUGUUGCCUAAUCUUCCUGCGGUGCAGGGAACGUUGCUGAAUGGAGAAAGCUGUUGGAAGUUCCAGCUGGAGCAGAGGCUGUACUGUUUCCUCCGCAGCUUGUGCGGUUAACCUGCGGGAGGACGCGACUUGAACUCUUGUCGUUGCUCCUAUGAAUAGUAUGGCUCGUUUUGUUGUCAAAACACGAUUUUUCAUCCGUGUUCUCACCAACCAGAUGGUUUCUGGACCCACUGUACUUCUAUGGAGGCAGUUUAGGAUCGUUGCUAACAAUAAUGGCGACUUGUUGAUGGAUUUUAAGUGCAACUUUCUUUCAAUUUGGUUUGCCCAGACUGGUUGCCAACUACCGAAGACACGCCAUUCCCAACAGCAUGACUGUAUUUGCACAUUAGCUUUUGCUGCUACCACACUUGGAUUUUUUUUUUUAUUCGUUCUUUCCCCUGUCUGUUCUUGCAAGUAUGGUUAGCAGUAAGCCGUUUGGUAAUGUAGGCCUAGGUUGACCCCUUGCAUUUUCUUGGACAUGGCUUUUUAUUUGGGUAUCUGCUAUGCUCACGUUGCUUACUUGUGUUGCUUACUCCAGCAGCAUCAGAUAAUCACAGUGCAGUCAGUAAACACUAGUGUACCCGUUGAUGGAUGCACCCCAGCAACUUCCAAUUUUAAAAGGUCUGGUCAGGUAAGGCUUAUUCCUUAUGUUAUGCUUACCUUUCAGCGAAAAACGUCUGCUUAUUUUAAUUGUAUUGUGGACCUUACCAUUUGAAUUUUGAGAACUGAGUUUAGAUACAGUAUGAAUCUGACCAUAGAAAAUUCGAUUCUACAGGUAAAAUGGCUUCCGUUGAGCUUUCAGUCCCUUUUCAUGAUUGUGGCAUAUGUGAUAUUGUGCAUGAGACAAUGGCAAAAUUGCAUAAUUUGACUGAACAGUACAUGUAAUCUCAUGUGGUAGGAAAAAAAAACAAGCAUUGAAUUUCACAGAAUUUAACUGAAUUGAAUUAAACUUCCUGGAAUUACAAUUCUGUUUCCUG